UGGGAUGUCAGGAAUAACGAUGGAAACAGCAAAAAUAUGGUUGCACCUGGACUUGAUAUGAAAGUAACCAUCAGAAAAUCAACAGAGAUCUUAAACUUGCCUACCACAGACACCUGCAGGAAUAUACUAAGAAUCAUCAUAGUGGACCUUUAUUGUCUCCUGAGCACCCAUUCUUUGUUCUUUCAGAAACACAACUGGUUUUGAGAAUCCAUCCCUUCUUCACUCAGUCCACGUAAAGGUUAGGAUGGUAGAAAGUGUUAUACCUCUUCCUCCAGAGUUGGAGCCUAUGACACUGAUGACACUGGCAUGGAAAGCCAAAGCCCUACACCAACCAGCACACUUACUGGUUCCAAAUUGAUCUACGCUGGUGUAAUCAGAGUGAAUCUCAGAACUUUGGACAGAGCUGUGAGCAGAGACUGACUUUCCUGCUGUCUCCAGGUAGCUGCAAGGCUGAACAGCAGCACCUACUUUAUUACCAUCUUACUGUCAUUCAAAGAAGGCAGAGCUGAAUGCUGGAGAAAAACUGAGUACUAGCAACAGUUUUUGAACCCUGAAUACUGUCAUAACUGAAGCUAGAAUUAUCCCUGGACUUGUUUGCCACUAAAAUUUCCUUGUUUUGCUUACCCUGGUUUCAGCUGGCACCCUGAUCACUUGAAAGGAACAUAACUGAUAUACUGUCCUUUGUUUUUCUUUCCUUCCUCUUCUCCGCCU
rnacentral:lncRNA from 10 species